rnacentral:rRNA from 1 species
CCUGCCAGUAGUCAUAUGCUUGUCUCAAAGAUUAAGCCAUGCAUGUCUCAGUACAAGCCAAAUUAAGGUGAAACCGCGAAAGGCUCAUUAAAUCAGUUAUGGUUCCUUAGAUCGUACCCACAUUUACUUGGAUAACUGUGGUAAUUCUAGAGCUAAUACAUGCAAACAGAGCUCCGACCGGAGACGGAAGGAGUGCUUUUAUUAGAUCAAAACCAAUCGGCGGCAGUAGCGUUUCUGCGUUAUUGUUCGUCGUACUGUUUGGUGACUCUGAAUAACUUUUGGCUGAUCGCACGGUCUUGCACCGGCGACGCAUCUUUCAAAUGUCUGCCUUAUCAACUGUCGAUGGUAGGUUCUGCGCCUACCAUGGUUGUAACGGGUAACGGGGAAUCAGGGUUCGAUUCCGGAGAGGGAGCCUGAGAAACGGCUACCACAUCCAAGGAAGGCAGCAGGCGCGCAAAUUACCCACUCCCGGCACGGGGAGGUAGUGACGAAAAAUAACGAUACGGGACUCAUCCGAGGCCCCGUAAUCGGAAUGAGUACACUUUAAAUCCUUUAACGAGGACCAAUUGGAGGGCAAGUCUGGUGCCAGCAGCCGCGGUAAUUCCAGCUCCAAUAGCGUAU